ACUCAAAUGAAUUGACGGGGACCCGCACAAGCGGUGGAGCGUGUUGUUUAAUUCGACGGUAAGCGAAGAACCUUACCCGGGUUUGACAUCCUUGGAAUUUUUCCGAAAGGAAAAAGUGCUUUUAGAGCCAAGUGACAGGUGUUGCAUGGCCGUCGUCAGCUCGUGUCGUGAGAUGUUUGGUUAAGUCCAUCAACGAGCGCAACCCUUAUGUUUAGUUGAAUUUCUCUAAACAGACUGCCCUGGCAACAGGGAGGAAGGAGGGGAUGAUGUCAGGUCAGUAUUACCCUUACACCCGGGGCUACAAACACGCUACAAUGGCCGGUACAAAGGGCAGCCAAGUCGCAAGACGGAGCAAAUCCCAUCAAAGCCGGUCCCAGUUCGGAUAGGAGGCUGAAACUCGCCUCCUUGAAGUCGGAAUCGCUAGUAACGGUAGGUCAGCUAUACUACCGUGAAUACGUUCCCGGGUCUUGCACACACCGCCCGU
rnacentral:rRNA from 1 species